UAGGAAAAUGCUUGCUGCUAUCCCAGUG
rnacentral:piRNA from 1 species